UGGGGAAUAUUGGACAAUGGGCGCAAGCCUGAUCCAGCAAUGCCGCGUGUGUGAAGAAGGCCUGCGGGUUGUAAAGCACUUUCAGUGGGGAGGAAGGCCUCGGCGUUAAUAUCGUCGAGGAUUGACGUUACCUACAGAAGAAGCACCGGCUAACUCUGUGCCAGCAGCCGCGGUAAUACAGAGGGUGCAAGCGUUAAUCGGAAUUACUGGGCGUAAAGGGCGCGUAGGUGGUUAAUUAAGUCAGAUGUGAAAUCCCCGGGCUUAACGUGGGAAUUGCAUUUGAAACUGAUUGGCUAGAGCACGGGAGAGGGAAGUGGAAUUUCCGGUGUAGCGGUGAAAUGCGUAGAUAUCGGAAGGAACACCAGUGGCGAAGGCGACUUCCUGGCCCGUUACUGACACUGAGGCGCGAAAGCGUGGGGAGCGAACA
rnacentral:rRNA from 1 species